AUGCCUUCCUCCCGCCCCUCCUCCCCCUCGGCCCCCAUCGUCCUCCUCAGCGACAGCGGCGGCGUCUACGACGAGGACGCCGCCGCCGCCUCCGCCGCGCUCUCGGGGCCCGCCGCCGAGCGCAUCGCGUCGUCCCUAGUCACGCAGGCCGACGUCGACGCCGUCUGCAGGAAGCACGGCGUCCCGAGGGAGUUCGCCGCGCGCCCCGCCGGCGACCUGCGCGCGUGCAGCGCGCCUCCGCCGGGGGCCGUCUGCGUGUACGCCCACGCGCUGGAGGCUGGGGUGCGCUUCCCGCUGCACGCCUUCUUCCGCGACGCGCUCGCCCACUUCGGCCUCGCGCCGGGGCAGCUCGCGCCCAACGGGUGGCGCGUCCUGGUCGGUUUCUUCGCGCUCUGCCACGAGGCCGGCGUGCGGCCGUCGGUGCCGCUGUUCCGGCACUUCUUCAAGCUGCUCACCGUCACCAGGAAGGGCGGCUGGUACUGGUUCGGCUCCAGGGCAGAGGCCGGAGUGCUCUUCGCUGGCCUGAAAUACAACAAGUCUGACAGAGAGUGGAAAGGGGGCUUCUUCUUCCUGACGUCGCCGGAGCCGUGGCAGUGCCCCGUGCUUUGGGGCGAGCCCCCGUCCAAGCGCUUCCCCGCAGAUCCGGUGCUAACGAGCCAGCUGAAGCAGUCGGCGAAAAAGCUGCUGGAAGUACACGGCGUCGCGGUCAAUCUCCGGGCUUACCUCCGUAAGGCAAAUCUUGCUGCGGCCUUCUCCUCCAACCCCGCCGGCGCAUCACCUCCGCCUUCUCCUCCUUCUACUGUUCCCAAAGGGAUGGAUCCACCUGCCCGCGAAAUGACUGACAGUAUGCCAGUGGUGAGGACGGCGGCGCCGGCGGCAGGGACGGAGCAGGUGAAAGGCGAGGCGCACGGCGACACGCUUCCUAUGACCGGAAAGAAGAGGAGACGGGAGGAGGUAACUGCAACAGACGGGCUUGGCUGCGCCGCCCCGGUGUCUGACCCGCAUGCCCCACCGUCGCCGCCGAGCUUUGACCCGCGGUCACCGCACUCGCCCGUACCCGAGACACACGACGGAGAUAGCGCUGACUGGAUGGCCGCGCGGAAGGUCCUAGAUGGCAUCAUCACGCCGUCGCGGGAGCUCCAAUUCGCGACGUCGAAGCCCUCCGACGUCGUGGCGUCGAGCUACAUAGCAAUGCUCCAGGCCGCGAACUACGCGACCUUCUCCAUGACCUGCGCGCUGGAGCUGGACGAGAAGCUGGUGGCGCUGGAGCGCGACAACCUGGCGCUGUGGGAGCAGCUGGAGAAGGAGAAGGCGGCGAGGCAGGCAGUGGAGGCGGAGCUGGAGAGGGCAAAGCGAGAGCGCGCCAAGGCGACGGCGGUGCAGCAGUUCUUGGGGUCGGAGGAGUACACGCGGCGGGUGGCGGAGCAAGCGCUGCCGGCGUACUUGCGCGGCGCCGAGGAAAUGAAGCGCGUCGUGCUCCGGCACUACCCGCACCUCGACGCCGGCAAGCUGGAGCUGCCGCUUGAUUAG
rnacentral:rRNA from 1 species